rnacentral:rRNA from 1 species
UACUCGACUCCUACGGGAGGCAGCAGUGAGGAAUAUUUGGUCAAUGGAGGGAACUCUGAACCAGCCAUCCCGCGUGUAGGAAGACGGCCUUAUGGUUGUAAACUACUUUUAUACAGGAAGAAAACGGUACCCCUCGUGAGGGGUGCCCUGACGGUACUGCUAGGAAUAAGCACCGGCUAACUCCGUGCCCAGCAGCCGCGGUAAUACGGAGGGUGCGAGCGUUAUCCGGAUUUAUUAGGGUUUAAAGGGUCCGUAGGCGGAUUAAUAAGUCAGUGGUGAAAUCCCAUCGCUUAACGAUGGAACUGCCAUUGAUACUGUUAGUCUUGAAUGAGGGUGCAGUGGUUGGAAUGUGUAGUGUAGCGGUGAAAUGCAUAGAUAUUACACAGAACACCGAUUGCGAAGGCAGAUCACUAACCCUAAAUUGACGCUGAGGGACGAAAGCGUGGGGAGCGAACAGGAUUAGAUACCCUGGUAG